GUGUGCUGCAGCUGGUGUUGUGAAUCAGGCCGAUGCCACACACCCGCUAUAACCCGGCUAUUUCACAACACCAGGGUGGCACUG
rnacentral:pre_miRNA from 1 species